rnacentral:rRNA from 1 species
UACGGGGGGAGCAAGCGUUGUUCGGAUUUACUGGGCGUAAAGGGCGCGUAGGCGGUCAGCACAAGUCAGUUGUGAAAUCUCCGAGCUUAACUCGGAAAGGUCAACUGAUACUGUGCGACUAGAGUGCGGAAGGGGCAACUGGAAUUCUUGGUGUAGCGGUGAACUGCGUAGAUAUCAAGAGGAACACCUGCGGCGAAGGCGGGUUGCUGGGCCGACACUGACGCUGAAGCGCGAAAGCCAGGGGAGCGAACGGG